GGACUACAGGCAUGCACCACCAAGCCCAGGGUUUAUCGACAAAAUGAAGUCUCUGAUGUGGAGUAGCAGACGUGCGUUUUUGGUUGCAGACCUUUCCUCCUUGGGCCACAGACCUUUAAAGAGGGCUUUCUCAACAACAUAAGGAUGUGCCUCUUCCCCAACAAUCUGGGGUUCCCUGUGGUGACAG